AGAAAGAAAGAAAGAAAGAAAGAAAGAAAGGAAAAAAAAAUAGGGCACAGCUUC
rnacentral:ribozyme from 1 species